GGACGCUUAGCUCAGUUGGUUUAGAGCGCUUCCCUGACACGGAAGAGGUCAGAGGUUCGAAUCCUCUAGCGUCCA
rnacentral:tRNA from 1 species